UUUUUUUGGAAGAACGCGCUUUUGCCUCCGAUUGGCCGCUGCCCGUCACGCGGCCCGCGGGCAGGACGGAAUUAGAGAACAUUCACUCACUGACCCGGCGUCCCCGCCGCUCGAGUUGAAGCCGUGUUCCUCUGGCGGAGAGCCCAGGUAGCACCUCUGGCGGCCCUCAUACAGGAGCAGGGCAAGACCCGUCCUGUCCCCUGGGCAUUGCUUCCUGCAGAUGACCUCACAGCACUCCUGAGCUGUCCCCACUGCCUCGGCUCCCACUCCCACCAGAGCCCCCAGUGCCUCAGCGAAGCUGAGCUACCCUGUCAGCCCACAGUCAGCAGAGGCAGAGGGAGCCCUUCUGGGCAAGUGGCCACUCGACACUGACCCUUCCGUCCCAUUUUAGGGUCUUGCUCUGUUGGCCAGGCUGGAAUGCAACCUUGCCCUCCUGGCCCCAAGUGACCCUCCCACCUCAGCCUUCCAGCCAAAGGCUGUGCCCCUCACUGCUGACGCUCGGCCUUCACUGGCUGCUCUACAGAUGAUACGCAGAGAUCACAUGCGACUGGUUGCUUCGGGAGCGUGGGGCAGCUCCUGUCAUGACGGAACUGGCUGAGACCAUCUGCCCUUCAACUGGACCUAUGCCAGUGCCCGAGGUGGCCUUUUGAUGUCGGAGGGCCAAAACCUCCAACCUCAGACCAUGCUAACACUGCCACUCCCGGUGCCUGUGUCCUGUGAAAUGCCAAGAACCCGACGACACCUGCACAGAAUGGGCCUGCUGGACCACCUGCUCUCUAGCCCAUAAAUACUCCUAAGCUGAAUCACUAGGGAGGCGGGUUUAAGAACUGUUCUCCCUCCUCCUCACUCAGCGGCCUCGAAAAUAAAUCUCUUCUCUUGGCUGGACACAGUGGCUCACACCUGUAAUCCCAGUGCUUUGGGAGGCUGAAGUGGGAAGACAGUUUGAGCUCAUGAGCUUGAGGCCAGCCUGGGCAAUAUAGCAAGACCCCGUAUUUCUACCAAAAAAAAAAAAAAAUUAGCCAGUCAUGGUAGCAAAUGCCUGUAGUCCCAGCUCCUCAGGAGGUUGAGGCAGGAGGGUCACUUGAGUCCAGGAGUUUGAGGCUGCGGUGAGCUGUGAUCACACCACUGCACUCCAGCCUGGCCACAGAGCAAGAAGACUCAGACUCAAGAAAAAAACAAAAAGUAACAAAAUUAGGGUGAACUAAAGGCCAUUGAGAACCUGCAGAAGCAGGAAAACCUGUUUACUUCUCCCAUUAGCUGCCUUAAAAAAUAAAGUGCUUGGCCAGGCGCAGGCACUCAGACCUGUAAUCCCAGCACUUUGGAAGGCCAAGGCAGGCAGCUCCCCUGAGGUCAGGAGUUCAAGACCAGCCUGACCAACAAUAAUGAAACCCCAUCUCUACUAAAAAUACAAAAGUUAGCUGGGCAUGGCGGCAGGCACCUGUAGUCCUUGCUGCUUGGGAGGCUGAGGCAGGAGAAUUGCUUGAAUCCAGGAGGCUGAGGUUGCAGUGAGCUGAGACCACACUAUUGCACUCCAGCCUGGGCAACAAGAGCGAAACUCCACCUCAAAUUUUAAAAAAAAUUAGAAGAAUAAAAAUAAAGUGCUCUUUCACGAAGGAAAUUUCCAAUGGUGACGGAAUCUAUGCCAGGAAGAGCAUUCCAGAAACAACUCUUUUCACCUGAGACACUUAACCAGCAUCACCUGCCUCCCAGCCCAGAGGCCGGCCCCAAGCCCUCUUCCCACUCUCUGGCUGCCCCCUUUGUGGCACUGAGCCCUCACCCACCGUCUGCCUCUCUGACUCUCAUUUUUGAGGUCCCUUCUCUCCAGCCUAUGAGUACAUCUGUAAUUUAAAAUUGCCUUUGUUUGUUUGUUUGUUUUGAGACAGAGUCUUGUUCUGUUGCCCAGCCUGGAGUGCAGUGAUGCAAUCUCAGCUCACCACAACCUCCGCCUCCCAGGUUCAAGCAAUUCUCCUUCCUCAGCCUCUUGGGUAGCUGGGACUACAGGGUCGAGCCACCAUGCCUGGCUAAUUUUUUGCAUUUUUAGUAUAGACGGGGGUUCACCGUGUUAGCCAGGAUGGUCAAUCUCCGGACCUCAUGAUCCGCCCGCCUCGGCCUCCCAAAGUGCUGGGAUUACAGGUGUGAGCCACUGCACCCGGCUAAAAUUGCCUUUUUAUCUUUUUCUCUGCUGUUCAUCUGUCUUAAGUCAGUUUCAUUCAAGGCCCAGCCAUGGAACCUAGAAGGGUAGAGGCAACUUUCUUCUUCCCCUGCUGCUGAGGCAGCAUACCCCCACGAACAGACACAGACGUGUAAAUGCAGAAAGAUGGAGCAGCAGCAGGAAAAGGGACCGGACGGCCCUGGGCACCCACCUGCCA